rnacentral:rRNA from 1 species
GCAGGGGAUCGCAAGACCUUGCGCUUUUGGAGCGGCCGAUGUCUGAUUAGCUUGUUGGUGAGGUAAAAGCUUACCAAGGCUUCGAUCAGUAGCUGGUCUGAGAGGACGACCAGCCACACUGGGACUGAGACACGGCCCAGACUCCUACGGGAGGCAGCAGUGGGGAAUUUUGGACAAUGGGGGCAACCCUGAUCCAGCCAUGCCGCGUGAGUGAAGAAGGCCUUCGGGUUGUAAAGCUCUUUCAGCCGGAACGAAACGGUUACGGUUAAUACCCGUGACUACUGACGGUACCGGAAGAAGAAGCACCGGCUAACUACGUGCCAGCAGCCGCGGUAAUACGUAGGGUGCGAGCGUUAAUCGGAAUUACUGGGCGUAAAGCGUGCGCAGGCGGUUUUGUAAGUCAGAUGUGAAAUCCCCGGGCUUAACCUGGGAACUGCGUUUGAAACUACAAGGCUAGAGUGUGGCAGAGGGGGGUGGAAUUCCGCGUGUAGCAGUGAAAUGCGUAGAGAUGUGGAGGAACACCGAUGGCGAAGGCAGCCCCCUGGGUCAGCACUGACGCUCAGGCACGAAAGCAUGGGGAGCAAACAGGAUUAGAUACCCUGGUAGUCCAUGCCCUAAACGAUGUCAACUAGUUGUCGGGCCUUAACGGGCUUGGUAACGUAGCUAACGCGUGAAGUUGACCGCCUGGGGAGUACGAUCGCAAGAUUAAAACUCAAAGGAAUUGACGGGGACCCGCACAAGCGGUGGAUUAUGUGGAUUAAUUCGAUGCAACG